AACGAACGCUGGCGGCAGGCCUAACACAUGCAAGUCGAGCGCCCUUUCGGGGGAGCGGCGGACGGGUGAGUAACGCGUGGGCAUAUGCCCUUCUCUACGGAAUAGCCUCGGGAAACUGAGAGUAAUACCGUAUACGCCCUUUGGGGGAAAGAUUUAUCGGGGAAGGAUUAGCCCGCGUUGGAUUAGGUAGUUGGUGGGGUAAUGGCCUACCAAGCCGACGAUCCAUAGCUGGUUUGAGAGGAUGAUCAGCCACACUGGGACUGAGACACGGCCCAGACUCCUACGGGAGGCAGCAGUGGGGAAUAUUAGACAAUGGCGGCAACCCUGAUCUAGCCAUGCCGCGUGAGUGAUGAAGGCCUUAGGGUUGUAAAGCUCUUUCAGCUGGGAAGAUAAUGACGGUACCAGCAGAAGAAGCCCCGGCUAACUCCGUG
rnacentral:rRNA from 1 species